CUCAUUCUCCCCCAACCUAGGAUGCUGACAUUUAAAGCAAUGGCUCAUCUCUUCAUCUUGGGCUGCACCUGGUGUCUGGGUGUCCUACAGGUUGGCCCCAUGGCCUCCUUCAUGGCCUACCUCUUCACCAUCAUCAACAGCCUGCAGGGCAUCUUCAUCUUCCUGGUGUACUGCCUCCUCAGCCAACAGGUCCGGGAGCAGUACAGGACAUGGCUCAAGAGGAUCAGGAAACAGACAACUGAGCCCGAGUCCUACACUUUGUCUAGCAAGGCUGUGUCCGAUGCCUCCUGACCCAGCACGACUGAUUAGAAAGAUCAUGGGAGCUACAUCCUCCUUCCCCAUGGAAAAUCUGAACCGCCAUUUUUAGUCAUUAGGACAGGACAAAGACUUUUGUGCUGUGUGUUUCAAGAUAUUCAUGGUGUUGGACACGUGAAGGGAUUCUUGGAGGACAUGAUCGACAUUCAAUACCUGCAGAACCUGAAAUCUGUCCAUGCCCAACAUGGUGCUGGGCAAACUCAACAUCCAGAUGCCAUCUGCAGCCCAAUUCCUCAGUUUCUCUGUUAAACGUUCUUAUACUGCCCACCCUACCUAUGAGGCCUCUUCCAUGCAAACAUUCUAGAAGCAAGAAAACCAGCCUCCCAGGAUGCUCACAUCAACAACAUUCAAAAGGAAUAGAACCUGCCUUAAACUUUUUGACAAAAAAUAAAAUAUAAAUAGAAAAAAAAUUAUAAAAAUAAAAUAUUGUGGUGCCUACAAGAAAGAGACCUUGCUCUAUGUGGGACAUGGGAUUCUGAGGAUGUGGAAGGCUCCCCAGAAUGCCAUAUUCCACUAAAGAUCUUCCAUAGUCAUGUAGAGGCCAAAUUGACAAGAAAAUUGGUCCCCAGAUAAUUUCCUGACAGACAUGUUAGUAAGUAAGAAGUAAAGAGUAGGAGACAAGACUAGGAAGACAGGGAGAUGGGCCUGGGUCACUUCCUGGGCAGUGAGUACAAACAGCACCUACAGAUAUUUGUUAAGAAACUUACAAAAAGGCUAUUUUUAAGUCAGGACCUAUGUGACUCUGGUCCAUGCCUCUCCAAAGAAGGAAAAAGGCCCGAUGGACAUCUUGAUUGGACAAAAGGCUUCAUGGACACCUCGUGGACACUGCAUGAAUAUACUUUGUGACUUUUUCUACUUGUGCUAAUUAAUGCAAGUAAUAGCUUCUUUGUCUUGUAGGGCUUCUACAGAACAAGCAGUUGUCAUUUGGUAUCAGGGUUAACAUAGACUUGGAAAAUUCCUUGGCACAUUUAUUUCCAUGCGAUUCCCAAUAAUUUAUAUGCAUUGCAAAUAGGUGAGAUUUCAAAAUUACUGAUGAUAUUUCUGGGUGAUGAAUUGGGUGAGUCAAUUUCUUCAUUGAUUGGUCCAUUAUACUUUUUAAUUAAAAAUUAACCAAGCCUAUAGAAAAUGUGGCUUC